rnacentral:rRNA from 1 species
GUAGUCCACGCAGUAAACGAUGAAUACUAACUGUUCGGAGGGCGACCUCUGAGUGGUAAAGCGAAAGCGUUAAGUAUUCCACCUGGGGAGUACGCCGGCAACGGUGAAACUCAAAGGAAUUGACGGGGGCCCGCACAAGCGGAGGAACAUGUGGUUUAAUUCGAUGAUACGCGAGGAACCUUACCCGGGCUCAAACGUCGGGCGAACCAUCCUGAAAGGGAUGGGCCAGCAAUGGCGGCCGACGAGGUGCUGCAUGGUUGUCGUCAGCUCGUGCCGUGAGGUGUCGGCUUAAGUGCCAUAACGAGCGCAACCCCCGCGUCCAGUUGCCAGCGAGUAGAGUCGGGCACUCUGGACGGACUGCCGGCGCAAGCCGCGA